UAGUGCAUCAACGUCCAUCAUAAAAAAAAAUAUCUUGUGCGAUCAUUUUGGAGGAAAAGCCACUGAAUGGUAUUGGAAGUUUCAAAAGGCAAAUCCCAACUUCACUUCGUCAAAGUUUUGCGAAGAGUUUCGUAAGAAAUUCGAAGACAUUGAUACAGACAUGGACAUUUGGGAGACCAUUAAUAGCAGAAGGCAAGGCGACAAGGAACCGUUUGAAGAAUUUCAGUUUCAUGUCGAAAGACUCGUAGCCCAACUACGGAACCCUAUAACAGAGGAAUCCUUGGUACGCUUGCUAAUAAGGCACUCCAAGACCUCACUCAGAUUUGAAUUAAUGCACUUAGGGAUUAAUACUCUUGCUCGGUUGCGAGAAGAGUUACGAACACAUGAACAGUUUUGUAAACAAAUCAAGUUGCAGCCCCUAAAAAGCAGUUUUGCCCCUAGACCAUUCGUAUCUCAGCUAGAUGGAGAGGAAGAAGAGAUGCAACAGAACGAAGUCGCAGCAAUGCAGCGAGAACCACUCAAAUGCUGGAAUUGUGAUAGUCUAGGUUACCGAUUCGAUGAGUGCCUUGAGAAUCAGCGGCGCAUCUUUUGCUAUGGAUGCGGUGCCAAGAACGUGUUUAAGCUAAAAUGUCAGACUUGUAAUCCAUCGGAAAACCGACAGAAGGAUGCGUCAGCGAACAACCUGCUGCCGCAUCCAAAACAUUAGGUAUAGAUUGCGCUACGCAGACUGAAUCGGUUUCCAACAGCCGAUCAAAAGCACUACCGAGCAUAUGCCAUAUCAGGAGAGGCUGGCUCGGUACACAGAAACGCGGAACAGGAUAUUUGGGGGCGUAAAUAGUUUUGAGCACGACGAUAGAACUCGAAGAUCGUCGAGACGAGCGAUAAGCUUUUGGAAAGGAGUUCGCGACAACCGCAGACGACUUAUUUCAGCCAUUUUCCUCAACAAGGAUAGUCGAUUAUACACCGAUAUUGAGAUAGACAACCAUUCUUACAUCGCGUUAUUAGACUCAGGCGCGACAGUGAGUUGUAUUGGCGGUGACGCCGCGAAAACAUUUAACGAUCACCCUCAAAGGCGCAACUGUUCAGGGUUCAUAAGAACCGCAAAUAACUCAGAGUGUCCUGUUACAGGACGACUCAUUGUGAACAUCAAAUACCAGGGACGGGCAAACGCAGUAGAGAUUUUUAUCAUUCCAGAUCUAAAACAGGACGUAUAUUUAGGUAUAGAUUUUUGGCAGAAGUUUGGGUUACUCGACAGAAUCACCGACGACAAGGGAGCUGUAGCCGAAUUAGAUGUAGGUCGCGAAGAAAGUGAUGAGACAGUUAAGAACCAUGUACUAUCAGCCGCUCAACAAGACAGGUUAAAUCAAGCCAUAAGCACGCUUCCGUCUUAUGAGAAAGAAGGAUUAGGGCGCACCCAUCUUAUAGAGCAUCAUAUUGAUGUAGGCAGUUCUCUUCCGGUAAAGCAGAAGCAUUGGUCAGUUUCGCCGGCGAAGGAAAAGGUUAUGUUUUCUGAAAUCGAGAACAUGUUAGCAAUGGAUGUUAUCGAAGAGUCUAGGAGUCCAUGGAGCAGUAACUGCGUUCUUGUCCAGCGAGGACAGAAAAUUCGGCUAUGUCUAGAUUUCCGCGAGGUUAAUAAGCUUACCCUAAAGGACGCUUACCCUCUCCCUCAGGUGGAUGGUAUUCUCAGCAGACUGCCUCCUGCUCGAUAUAUUACCGGCUUAGACAUGAAGCAUGCCUUCUGGUAGAUACCUCUUGAGGAGAAGUCUCGCCAAUGCACAGCCUUCACCAUACCAAAUCGGCCACUAUACCAGUACAAGGUAAUGCCCUUCGGCUUAUGCAACGCCGCUCAAACGGUCUGUAGGUUAAUGGACCAAGUAGUACCGCCUAGCCUGAGGACGAGAGUAUUCGUCUAUUUAGACGACCUCUUGCUUCUCUCAGACGACUUUGAAUCACAUAUGCAACUAAUCGAGGAAGUAGCAGGGUAUUUCCGUAAGGCCAACUUGACAAUUAACAUCGCGAAGUCCAAAUUUUGUAUGAGAGACAUCAAAUACUUAGGAUUUAUUAUCGGGGACGGUCAACUGAAAGCCGAUCCAGGUAAAAUCUCAGCGGUCAAGGAGUUUCCGAAACCUAUCACGACCAAACAACUCAGACGUUUCCUAGGUCUCGCCGGAUGGUAUAGACGGUUCGUGGAAAACUACGCAUCCAUCACCCGAGCUUUAACCGAUCUGUUGAGGAAAACCGAAUUGGAAUGUUUGGCUAUGAUUAGAGGAAUUAACAAAUUCAGGGCGUAUAUCGAGGGGCAAGAUUUCGUAGUAGUUACAGACCACGCGUCGCUGCAGUGGCUAAGGAAGCAGAAGGACUUAUCGGGGAGGUUAGCCAGAUGGGCAAUCCGCUUGCAAGGGUUUUCAUUCGAGAUUAAGCACAGAAAAGGGACUCAGAAUGUCGUACCCGAUACGCUUUCUAGGAGAGACGAACUAGUAGUCAAUGAGAUUCACGGUCUCGGCCCUGUGAUCGACAUGUCCUCGAAGGAUUUUAUGUCGCAAGAGUAUGUAGAAUUGAUCAGAAGAAUACAAGAUGACCAGUCACGGCUGACAGACUUGCGUGUGGAUAACGGGUAUAUCUAUAAGCGCCUCGAAGGCGUGGAAGGUAGUGAUUCAUGGAAGCUUUGGGUGCCUUCGAACCUCCGAAACAGUGUACUAUAUCGAGCACACGAUCCAUGUGACUCAGCUCACCUAGGCAUGGGUCGGAUGGCGCAGAAGCUUAAGCAAUUCUUCUUUUGGCCGGAUAUGAUUACACAAAUCCGUUCAUACAUAUCAAACUGUCCCACAUGUAAAUCAACUAAAGGUGCAAACCUAGUACUAAGGCCGCCCAUGGGCAGGCCAAUGACAUCAGACAGACCUUUUCAGAAGUUGUAUAUGGAUCUAUUAGGGCCAUAUCCGAGAUCAAAAGAAGGUAAUAUCGGGUUAUUGAUUAUAGUCGACCACAUGUCUAAGUUCCAUUUCUUGCAACCAUUUAAGAAAUUCACUUCGGGUAAGAUCUGCGAUUAUCUACUAAGACACGUCUUUUACACAUUCAGCGUGCCCGAGUCGAUUUUGACUGACAACGGUUCGCAAUUUAAAUCGGGACAAUUCAAGGCGUUCCUGACUCGAUUUGGUAUAUCACAUAUCUGUACCGCGAUCUACUCUCCUCAGGCCAACGACAGUGAGAGGCUCAACCGUUCUGUCCUAGCAGCCGUACGCGCGUACGUGGGUCAAGACCACACCAAUUGGGAUAAGCAACUAAGUGAGAUUAGCGGGUCCUUGAGGGCAAACUUCCAUCGUAGCAUAGGCUACUCACCUUACUACAUUUGCUUCGGUCAGAACAUGAUAUUAAAUGGCAAAGAUUACAACCUUCUUCGUAAGCUGGACUUAUUACAAAACGAUGUAGCGAUAAAGUAUCCUGAAUUUCUUCAAUUAGCUCGACAAGAGGCCAAAGCCAGAAUAGCAGACAGCCAUGAGACCAAUGCUCGAAAGUACAAUUUGCGAAGUCGGACCGUACAGCUGAAGGUUGGCGACACUGUCUUCGCUAGAAAUUUUGCACAGAGCAAUGCCGUCAAGAAAUUCAGUAGCAAAUUAACGCCAGUUUUUAUGAUAUCAAAGGUAAUCAAGAAAGUCAGCCCGGCAUACUAUGAACUAGCGAACGAGAAAGGCAAAUCAAUAGGUAAAUACCAUCUCAAAGAUAUUCAAAUCGGCAAAUAGACAGUUAACAGCCUUUCGAGAUAUGAUUCUCCAUCUGUUAACUGUGGUUGUAGGGUACAAUGCACGAACGCACGCAUAAGGGUUAAAGUUUUGGCUGUAAGUUGUUCCUCACUCACAUGUAUAAAACGUAAAUAGCGGCAUAAUUCCUGAAUUUGCUGGACCGCCUCUCUGUACUGUACGUCUGCCAUCUCGCACGAUCUGCGCCGCGGCGACUGAACAUCUGGCGAAAAUCAGUGUGAGCGACGAGAUGACGGAAAAUAUCACGCCAUAACGCCGUUACUUUCCGUCUCUGCGCUCCCUACUUAGAUUCCUGGAAGCGUAGUCAGCCACGUAGGCCAACUUCUGUGCACAGCUCGAACACUUGAGUUUCUCUUGCUAAGGCCAGCACACGUGCGCCAAAACCCACAGUCAAGAUAUAAUUCGAAACAAGUCCACGUGAAAACUGACCGACAAACGGUACCGAAGUGCGGCAAGGUGCAACCUGUACAGUAAUAGCUAAAGCGAAUAGUGCAAAACCAUAGUCUGAGGUGAAUAUCAGUCAUAAUUUUCCUCGAGGACCGGUCAUAUAAUAUCGGAAGUGUUUUGGUUUCAAAACACACCCCCCCGCAAUCGAUCUCUUAACAGGCGCUAAGUCCCUGCCACUCAGUGUAUGCUGGCGCUGAUAUCGUCGAACGAUUGCAGAGCGGGGGGUGGCUUUUAGGACCCUGGUUUGAGUAGUUUUUGCAUAAGUGUACUUGUACGAAAUUUCUAACGAUAGUUUUAAAUACGUCCAUUAGGUAAAAAGCUUCUUAUGUAAACGGGAAGUGCAUCGAAGUUAAGGUUGUACACAUAACACAUAUACAUAUACAUCUUGUUCUAAUCUACCCUCAAGGGAUCAACGAGAGCUUCAUUGGGCCCAACGAACGCUUCGAUGGAUUUUCCUAUAAAGUACCGAUCCCACUUUGCUCUUUGCCAGACAGCUAAGGGAAAAAAUAUCAUCACCUAGAACAUGGAACACAAACUUAAAUACAAAAUAAUAUGUAUGAAAAUAUAUAACUGAAUUACAAAAUUAAAUGAAAGAAAAUAUUUUACCCUUUUUUCUGGGAAUGGGUGGAGCGAGUUUAAGUGCAAAAGUUCUUCAUUUGAGAAUUUAGAAGUUCACUAUCAAGAACUUGUUUCUCAUUUUGAGCGCUGAAAAUUUCUCAGUAUGACGAAAGGGAUACUCGUUUCUAAAAUUUAAGCUAAAUUAUUUCUUAAAAUGAGUUCCGUUUUUUAGUCAUAUUGAGGAAAAAUGUUCAAAAGAGCACAAAUGUACUCAGUUUCUCAGAAAAUUUGUACUGAAUCGGAGUAUUUUGCACUCAAAGUGAGAAUUUUUGUUCAUGCUGAAUUUUUGAGUACAAAAAUUCUCAAUUUGAUUGCAAAUUUCUUGAAUAAUUCUCUAUGUGUAGCGUUUAUAAUUUGUAAUUCAUUUUCU